rnacentral:rRNA from 1 species
AGUGAACGCUGGCGGCAGGCCUAACACAUGCAAGUCGAGCGGCAGCGGGUCCUUCGGGAUGCCGGCGAGCGGCGGACGGGUGAGGAAUGCGUCGGAAUCUGCCUUUUUGUGGGGGAUAACGUAGGGAAACUUACGCUAAUACCGCAUACGACCUACGGGUGAAAGUGGGGGACCGCAAGGCCUUCCGCAGAAAGAUGAGCCGGCGCCGGAUUAGCUAGUUGGCGGGGUAAAGGCCCACCAAGGCGACGAUCCGUAGCUGGUCUGAGAGGAUGAUCAGCCACACUGGAACUGAGACACGGUCCAGACUCCUACGGGAGGCAGCAGUGGGGAAUAUUGGACAAUGGGCGCAAGCCUGAUCCAGCCAUGCCGCGUGUGUGAAGAAGGCCUUCGGGUUGUAAAGCACUUUUGUCCGGAAAGAAAUCCAAUCGAUUAAUACUCGGUUGGGAUGACGGUACCGGAAGAAUAAGCACCGGCUAACUUCGUGCCAGCCGCCGCCGUAACAC